rnacentral:rRNA from 1 species
CCUACGGGUGGCAGCAGUGAGGAAUAUUGGUCAAUGGGCGCGAGACUGAACCAGCCAAGCCGCGUGAGGGAAGAAGGUCCUAAGUAUUGUAAACCUCUUUUGUCGGGGAGCAAAAUGCGCCACGCGUGGCGCUCCGCGAGUACCCGAAGAAAAAGCAUCGGCUAACUCCGUGCCAGCAGCCGCGGUAAUACGGAGGAUGCGAGCGUUAUCCGGAUUUAUUGGGUUUAAAGGGUGCGCAGGCGGAAGUUCAAGUCAGUGGUAAAAUUGUGGGGCUCAACCUCUUCUUGCCGUUGAAACUGGGUGUCUUGAGUGUGUGAGAGGUAUGCGGAAGGCGUGGUGUAGCGGUGAAAUGCAUAGAUAUCACGCAGAACUCCGAUUGCGAAGGCAGCAUACCGGCGCUCAACUGACGCUCAUGCACGAAAGUGUGGGUAUCGAACAGGAUUAGAUACCCGAGUAGUC